rnacentral:rRNA from 1 species
UACGGGGGGGGCAAGCGUUGUUCGGAAUUACUGGGCGUAAAGGGCUCGUAGGCGGCCAACUAAGUCGGAUGUGAAAUCCCCAGGCUCAACCUGGGAACUGCAUCCGAUACUGGAUGGCUUGAAUCCGGGAGAGGGACGCGGAAUUCCAGGUGUAGCGGUGAAAUGCGUAGAUAUCUGGAGGAACACCGGUGGCGAAGGCGGCGUCCUGGACCAACACUGACACUGAGGAGCGAAAGCCAGGGGAGCAAACGGG